UUUAAUAAACACAGCGUGCCGUCCAGGCC
rnacentral:sRNA from 1 species